rnacentral:rRNA from 1 species
ACGGGAGGCAGCAGUGGGGAAUAUUGCACAAUGGGCGCAAGCCUGAUGCAGCGACGCCGCGUGAGCGAUGAAGUAUUUCGGUAUGUAAAGCUCUAUCAGCAGGGAAGAAAAUGACGGUACCUGACUAAGAAGCCCCGGCUAACUACGUGCCAGCAGCCGCGGUAAUACGUAGGGGGCAAGCGUUAUCCGGAUUUACUGGGUGUAAAGGGAGCGUAGACGGCGAUGCAAGUCUGAAGUGAAAGCCCGGGGCUCAACCCCGGGACUGCUUUGGAAACUGUGUUGCUAGAGUGCAGGAGGGGUAAGCGGAAUUCCUAGUGUAGCGGUGAAAUGCGUAGAUAUUAGGAGGAACACCGGUGGCGAAGGCGGCUUACUGGACUGUAACUGACGUUGAGGCUCGAAAGCGUGGGGAGCAAACAGGAUUAGAUACCCUGGUA